rnacentral:lncRNA from 1 species
GCCCUGACCGAUUCGCUCGACGCUAUUUCCGUCUUCGAGGCUGCGGCCGUCGAUGGCCGCGCGUGUGUACGGAUGGUCUCGUUAUACGCAUUGGUGAGGGUACCCCUUGUUGAUACCCUCGACAAGUUGCUCUGCCAUGACUAGUUCUUAAAAUUGAAAUCUCUCUCAAGUUUAGGCAUAACUAUUAUAAUUUAAACCUGCUUUAAACCUGAAUUUGUGGGAAGAGUACUUGAUCUAAAGUCUAAGUUGUUAACGGAUAUGAUAUGGGAAGGUUGAGCUGCUGUUUAUCUAUUCCUAGAGAUGCUAGAAUUCUGGAGAAUUUUAUCUUUGAAAACCUUUAAAAUAACACAUGAUGAGUUCCUGUAUGAUGAGAGUUUAAAUUCCUACCACAGCCAUAUAUACAUGCUUGCUAGACUUUGAGCCACACAUUUACUUUUUACUACUUAUGAGCAUUGAGUGUGGUCAAGCUGUGUAGACCCUUAGGAGCUUGUCAUGUGGUUAAAAUCAAGAUUCACUUGCAUGUUCACUCGUAUAUGCUGCUUCUACUUUGGAAGUACGCAUCCACAUACAUUCACUCAUUUCCAUCUCCAGAUUCACCCAAAAUUAUUCUACUCCUGAUCCGGGAGAGAAUAGCCAAAAACAUUUUCCUAUCCCUGUUAUUCCCUGUGAAAUAAAUGCUCCAGUUAUUUUGGUUACUACCACUUGCUACAUUAUUUCAGGAGAUGAGUGCUCUAGUAAAAAAAGAAAGAGAAAAAAAUAAUACUAGGAAAUAAAAAGUGGCAAGUGCCCGGAACCUAGAGAAAAAAAUAAUACGAGGAAGUAAAAAGGGGCAAGUGCCCGGAACCUCGAAGAAAAGAAAAAGUGAGACGAGAGGUAAAAAUGGACAAGUGUCCGACAAUAGAAUUAGGGUUACAAGAUACCCACCUGAGAGGAAAGAAAAAGAAAAUAUAGAGCAUCUCAUUCUCCCCAAAAAGCUUCAAAAAUAGAAUUAGAAUUUCACCAUUGUUAUCACCAUCAUCACCAUACACCAUUCAUUCGCCACACAUGCACAUCUUGAUUUGACUUAUUGACUUGUUUCUCUGGAUCCAUGGUUUGACUAUGCAAUAACUGUCUUGUAAGUAUGUAUUAGCUGUCUCCCACCUAUGAGCUCCAGAUAUCAAAACCUUAUUAGAGUAAGGUGAGAGAGAAGGCAAUAUCACUAUGCAUUAUACCAAAAUUACCACAUACUUUGAGAGAAGGCAUAUACCAUUACCUCCUUGGUAAGGAUCCAGAAAUACCACAAAAGAGAGAUUUCAGAGAAUAAUAUAAGGAAUCUCUGAGUUUUAUUUGAAAAUCUACAAAAACUACAGAGCUAUAGCUAAUCAAAGAAUAAGAGACAUGGCACUUGACUUGAUCGUUCUAUCUUUUAACUGCUCAAGACACAAGUGACGGUUACAAGCCCCAUGGUGAAGGGUAAAAUGAGUAAGUUUUAAGUCUUAACAGUUUAUUCUAACUCAAAGAUGAGAUCUUGCUUGAAUGCGUGUGUACUUUUAAGGCAUGAAACCACUGCAGAAACUCUUGAGUUCAUCCUUGCUCAGGGACGAGCAAGAGGUAAGCUUGGGGGAGUUGUUGACGGUCCUUAAGUACCAAAUAUAAUCAUCAAAUAAAUAAAGAAAAGGAUCCAAAUGUAACCAACACCUAGACUUAGGGUUUUAUCUAACAGAAUUCCACGAGUUUUGGUGUUUGUCUAUUUCUACAGGGGGUUAUCAGGAAAUAAGGAAGAAAGGCCCACACGUCGGGAUUACAUAGAGACAUCAACGCACCACGCAAUUUUCUACCAUCUAGAAGACUCCAGAAGCCACGGGAAGAAAGCAGAGGCCGAAAGGGGCCAGGCCUAGGGCGCCCGCCCUGUCCUGGACUCCGUUCGGGACUCUCUUCGCACACGAUGUUCCACCGACCUAAAGGAUCAAGGAUAAUAUAGUACCACAUCGCCUACCGACCCAAAAACGCAUAGAGGAGGAGGACUAUAUAAGGAGACCCCCCUGGCCCCUGGAGAAGACAAGAAGUUUUUCAUAGAGUUGAGAGGAGCCCUCGAAGCAAUACCUCUCCUCUAAAUAAAAUUUAUAUUAGGCUUAGCAUCCAAUGUGAGUAGAAUUAGAUCUUCUAGUUUCUAUUAGAUUGAGAGAGAUAGAGUGGAGGUGUAGAUCGGAGGAAGGCCGGCCUGUCGGUGUCUACUCUGAGGUUGUACCUGCGGGAUCAAGUCUUCUAACCCGAGGCUUGCUCCUAAGAUUCUUCAAUAAUUCGACUUCUAAUUCUAGUAAGUUCUUGUUUUAUUGUUCUUUGGUUUAUGAGUUUACUUUAAUCCUCUUCCGGUAGAGUAUUAGAGUAAUCAUUGCUAGCGUAAAC